CUGGGAAGUUCUGGCAGGCGGCACCAUUUUUGCAUGGGUUGGAAAGGCACUCGUUGAUGUCCCUCUCGCAGGCCAUGCCAGUGAAGCCCUCGGGGCAACUGCAUGAGAAACCCCCCACCAAGUUGUGGCAAGUCCCGUCGUUGUGGCAGGGGGAAGGGAGGCAUUCAUCGAUGUCUGUCUCGCACAGACUCCCAUCGUACCCUGGCAUGCACCGGCACACGAAGGGCUGGAGGGGCUCGUUGGCCACAAUGAUGACGGGGACACUGUCGUGGCUCUUCAGAACUGGGCUCACUGCCAACCUCCUCAGGCAGCUCCCUCCGUUCUGGCAGGGGCUCUGCAGGCACCAGUCGUGGUCCACAGCCUCGAUCCGCACCCCGCUCUGGCGGAAGAGGACAUCUUUGAUGCUCUCAAAGAAGGUGGCCACACCGCUGGGAUUCACGUAUUGGUUGUUGCCGCGUUUGACAGCCGCCAUCAGGAAGGUGUGGUUGCUCUCCUCAUACAGUCCAUAAAGCUGGAUGGCAGUGCCCAGCCCCGUCAGCUGGGAGCUGGCGAUGCGCAAGAAGUGGAGAUAGUGAUUUGUCAGGAAAUCCCGCACGCUGUGGGCGCUCAGGCGGAGGAGGAUGCUGUUGUCAAUGGUGGCGUUGCCGAAGCCCGCGAAGAAAAUCCGGAUGCUGCUGGUAACGGCACCGUGCAGCCCAUCAUUGCUGAGGACAGCCAGGUCAAAUGUGCCAUCUGUGGACCUUGCCUGUGAGUGCAGCUCACAGGUACCCCCAGGAAUGCUGAAGAGGCUGGUGACUCCUGAGGUGAGGGAGCACUGGAAGCUGUCUAGCACAUCUGGAUCCUGAGGUUUUACGUUGCCCAAAAUUCCACCUGGGAAGAGGUUGCCAUAGUAGUGAACAAAGAUUUCUACUGUUCUGGGCUGAGAUGGGUUGUCGUUUUGGUCUAUUACCUUGAUCUGCACAGUUCCUGUGGAAGACAUCUGAGGAAUGCCAGAGUCUCUUGUAAUCACUGACAAGUAGAAAUCACUGAUUUGCUCUCUGUCAAUCUC
rnacentral:lncRNA from 1 species